UACGAAGGGGGCUAGCGUUGCUCGGAAUUACUGGGCGUAAAGCGCACGUAGGCGGAUCUUUAAGUCAGGGGUGAAAUCCUGGAGCUCAACUCCAGAACUGCCUUUGAUACUGAGGGUCUUGAGUUCGGGAGAGGUGAGUGGAACUGCGAGUGUAGAGGUGAAAUUCGUAGAUAUCAGGAAGAACACCGUGGCGAAGGCGG
rnacentral:rRNA from 1 species